rnacentral:rRNA from 1 species
CACGUAGGGCGCGAGCGUUGUCCGGAAUUAUUGGGCGUAAAGAGCUCGUAGGCGGCCUGUUGCGUCCGCUGUGAAAGCCCGGGGCUUAACCCCGGGUCGGCAGUGGAUACGGGCAGGCUAGAGGUAGGUAGGGGAGAAUGGAAUUCCCGGUGUAGCGGUGAAAUGCGCAGAUAUCGGGAGGAACACCGGUGGCGAAGGCGGUUCUCUGGGCCACUACUGACGCUGAGAAGCGAAAGCGUGGGGAGCGAACAGG